GCCCUGAGCAUCCUAAGCUGAUUCUCAGAAAAGGCAGUGUCCUUUGACAGUUCUGAGGCUCUCUAACUGUGGUUUCAGCUCCUGGCAAACUUCUUUUUUCCACUGUAGGCAGAGUUGUCUAUUGGCCUCGCUGUGUCUACGGGAGGGGCCUCCAGAACAGAUCCUGGGACAAGGGCUCGUGUGCCUGUGGUUUAUUAAGGAAGUUCUCCCAGGAGAAACUUCGAAGGGAAUGGAGAAAGCAGGAGAGUCAAGAGGAAAGAUGCUGGACUCACAUCUAUCAAGUGGAGGGAAACACAUGGUGGUUAAUGUGGACAUGAGAUGUGUUUGCCUCUGAAGACUGCAGCCCAAGACGCCCAUAGGAAGCCUCCAUCCUGGUGCCCGCUGGGCCAAGUUUGGAGCCAGGAGGGAAAUGGUUUGGCAGGAAAUCAACAAGCCACAGGAGGAAGACAACAGAGUGGAGAAAGCAGACGCCUCACAGAAACGCUGGGCCGAGGGGGUCUGAGUAGGCAGACUGAACGGGGCUCCGAAGACCCCCGGAAGUCCCUGCAAGUCCCUGGAGCCUGGAGAGAACCACUACCUGUGCGUCUUCAAGAGGUCGUCCCUGCAAGCAUAUAUAUGUGUAUAUUUUGUGGAAGGAACCUCUGUAUGUUUUCCAUAGUGGCUGCCUCUUUCCAUUCCCAGCAACAGAGUGUGGCCACCCAGUUGUCCCAGUGAAUCAUAUUCUUCUGAAGGCUCCCUCUUUUCUCCAUAGAUAUAAACUAUGAAACUGCUUUCUUCGACACGUAUUUAGUGGGGAGCUGGUGGAGAGUUUUACCGGAAAUGCAGCGUGGUGGCCAGUCCACACUCUGAAUUCAUGGUGAACCGACCGGCACCUGCGUGUGGAAGGAUGGACAUCACUGGUCCAAUGGACCCAAGUCACCGCCAUCAACCUGGCCCCUCUCGCUGCUCUGGUGCUGGGAGCUCCCACAAUCACACUCGCGCUUUAAAGGCCACCUGGACGCUGGUAUUUUGAAGCGUUCAGGUUGUUCGUUUGGCAGUUAUGCAUGCAUGCUUAGUUGCUCAGUCGUGUCUGACUCUGCGAGCCCAUGAACUGUAGCCUUCCAGACUCCUCUGUCCAUAGGAUUUCCCAGGUGGACUUUUUACCUGCUGAGCCAUCCAGGAAACCCAUUUGUUUUGCAGAAUUCUCUUCAAUUUGGAUUUGACUGAUUCCUCUUUAUGAAGAAACUCGGGUGAACUACUGUCUACUUUGCCAGGAUCAAUCUUAAGUUUUAUUCUGCUUUUGAAGAGCUGCUCACAUGAAAUAAAACCCAGAAGAUACAGAAGAA